UCUCUGGUUUGCAUGCCACCCUAGACAGCAAGAGGAAAUCCUAGAAGGGGGCGCCUCCCUUAAGCCCCAGCCAUCCUAGGGUUUGGAAGAGCGAGGUGCCCCAUCAUGUGGGUGUCCCUCCUUGUGUGGCCGCCUAAGACUCUAUGCCCAGGGAGUAUCUAUGCCCAAGAAGCCAUUUGAUUUGAUCAAAGAUCAGAGGAGGAUGUGGAAGGAGGCUUCGGAGGUGGGCAUGAGUGGAGGAAGUGCACGAGGUGACGAGCAUAGGCAAAGGUUGCACAGGCUGCUGUCAGGGUGUGCGCUGGUAGUCUCUGUUGGACAAGGGAUUUUCUCUUCACCUGGAUCAGGUUUUAUACUCUGGUUAAAACAGUAAGGAGGGCUCUAUCAGAUGUCCUUAAUGUCUUGAUAGAUCAUCCAAAAGAGAUCAGUAAGAUGGGAGACGAGGCACACAGGUUGGAAGCGUGCAUGUCGAAAUUUCUGCCAUGGAGUCCCUGUCGUACAGGGAUUCUCCUUCGAUAGGGACUCUUUAUCUAAGAAAUAUGGUCCAGAUUCAUCUAGAUCUGCUAGCUCCAAGGAUUCACGUCCUUAGCCUUGGUUCCAAGGGUCUUAAGAGUGGAAUAUCAGAUCUGGAGGUGCGUUCCAGAUCUCAGGAAGUGGGGGAGACACGAACUAGGUCGCUGCUGCAGGGUUCUUGACGUGCAGCGAUCUAGGACAUGGUGUUUGCUAUCCUUAGAGAGUCCGAAUCGUCAUGGACUCUUGCAGAGGGCCUUGUUGCAGGUCUCCUGAGGUCCACGCAGGUGUAUUGCGGUUUUAACAAGUGGUAUCAGAGCCUAAUGGAGCGUGAAAGUGAAGGAGAAGUCAUACAGGAUGAAAGUUGAAAUCUGCACAUCUAUUCCACGGUAUAUCUCAGAUUUAUCUUUGUUAUUGCUGUGGUUUGGCCAAUCGGGAGGAGCGAGUUGAAGGUGGAGGUUGAGAGGAUUGAUGGAAAGAGAAUUUCCUGAGGUGGAAGGUUUGGGUGUAUAUUUUACUGGUCCAAUAGUAUUUGGAGGUGGUCUUGGUGGAAAGGUUGGGGUGUAUGAUGGUUAGGCGAUAGGGUUCUCUAGAAAAGAUGGGCAGCAGGGGGCUGUUUGGUGGAUGAGGAGUGUUUGGCAUGUUUGGCGUGCUAGAGGAGAGGUUCCCCAAGGGGUAAUGGUCGAGGUGGAGCUGAAGAAGCGAUUAUACAACUUUUGGAUGCAGAAAGGUGGGAAAGUAGUCGGGAUGCAUUAAGCAAUUCGACCAGAGCAUGGAUUUGCGAAGCCUUGGGAUGAUGGAGAUGGCUGAUCCACAUUGUGUCGCAGCUGGUCAAAGGAGGAGGUCCUCUGGUGAUUUCGUAGGUGUUUGCGGAGUGCAGAAGGUUCGAAAUGACAGCAGCGACGGUGGAGGUUCAGCAGGAGAUCCAGCAAGGCAGUGUUGGACAGCUGAUCUCGGAUCAGAUUUUAUCUUUUAUAGGGGCAUCAGGAGUCGUUCUUUAGGUGGAGCACCGGCCAGAGGUUCCUCCACAGGUGGAGGAUGGUUUGGCAUAGGUUUAGAACCGAGGGGUGCAGGGAUGGAGUCAGUUUUCAGUACCAGCGGUGGUGAUGCACAGCAUGGUUCUAUGUGGGAUGUGCAGGCACUGGAGAGCUAUGGCUUUGGGGAGAUUAUGUCAGAUGGGUUGCUUGCAGUAAGAGAAGAUCUGGAUAUCUAUGAGGCUGAGAUGAGUCUCGGGUUGAGAUAGGUGGGUCUGAGCUCAGGACAGGAUUUGAGCUGCAGUUCUUUUAGUGAUGCUGAAGCGACGGUUGGUGCAGGGAUAGAAGAGGAUAAGGUGUUAGGAUGGAAUUUUCUAGGUUUAGUCGCUGGAUUUGAAGAGUUGGAUGAGCUCUUGGGUUUCGGAGAUGCCUGCGGGAUGCGGUGCAUUCGAGACUGCUUCGGAGGGGUCCACGAAGUGCGGAGGGUCUGAAGGGGCAGCGACGGUGAUUAAGGUGCAGCGGCAGGUCCAACAGGGCAGCAUUGGGUGGUUGGCCUCGAGUGAUUUGGGUAUAGAGUUGACUUCUGUGGCAUCAGAAGGACUUUAGAUUCAGAUGGAGCAGCGGACAGAAAUGGCUUCACAGGUGGAGAGGGUUUCAGUAGCAACGAGUGUCGGUUUAGGAAUACUGCGGUUUCUUCAGGGAAGUCCACGGCGAGUGAUGCAGCUGUCAAGCAUAAGAGCCUAUAAAUUUCAAGAUGGUGUCAAGAAACAAGCAAGGGUCUUUAGCUGUGGAGGCGGUCAUCCCAAAGGUCUCCAAGGAUGCGCAGAAGUUGAAGAAGAUUGGCAUCGACGAUGGAGGUUUGCACAGAGAGCUGUUAGGACGAGCAGCGAUAGUAGGAUCGUGCGGAUAGAUUGUGCGGAGGUUUGUCAAGGUUUGGGAGCACCAAGGUGGAGAUUCUUGGUACAUGUGUGGUGCUUCCAAGCCUUGGGAGGUCAUGAGAGGAGCCAUAGGCUUGGUUCCAGGAUUUUAGGACCGAUUUGGGUCCUAGGGUGAAGGUUGUCAGCCUUCAGGAUCUUGAGGUUCAAGAAUUUUGGACCUCAAGGGGCUAACUUGUAUUGGGUUGGAUUUGGGUCCAAGAGUGAGAUUGGGUCAAAUCAUGGGUGUACAUGGGCUUGGAUGAGUGCAAUUUCAUGUGGGUUAGCCAUGAGAGUUUUUAAUCUAAGGUUUAUUAAGGGUUCAUGUGGAAAUUCUAAGAUAUAUAAACCCAUAUAUUGUAAUAGUUUGUGAAGUGAUUAAUAUACGGCUUUUCUCGUUAACUUCUCUCUCUCUAGUUUGCACGCCACCCUAGACAGCAAGAGGAAAUCCUAGAAGGGGGCGCCUCCCUCAAGCCCUAGCCACCCUAGGGUUUGAAAGAGGGAGGCACCCCAUCAUGUCGGCAUCCCUCCUUAUGUGGCUGCUUAAGACUCCAUGCUCAGGGACCCUCCACGCCCAAGAAGCCAUCUGAUCUGAUCAGGGAUCAGAGGAGGACAUGGAAGGAGGCUUCGGAGGUGGGCAUGAGUGGAGGAAGUGCACGAGGUGACGAGCACUGGCAAAGGCUGCGUAGGUUGCUAUCAGGGUGUGCGCUGGUAGUCCCUGUUGGACAAGGGAUUUUCUUUCCACGUGGAUCGAUUUUUAUGCUCUGGUUAAAACAGUAAGAAGGGCUCUAUCAGAUGUCCUUAAUAUCUUGAUAGAUCAUCCAAAAGAGAUCAGGAAGGUGGGAGACGAGGCACACAAGUUGGAAGCAUGUAGGUUGAAAUUUUUGCCAUGAACAGGGACUCUCCUCAUCCAAGGAAUCUGGUCCAGAUUCGUCUAGAUCUGCUGGCUCCAAGGAUUCACGUCCCUAGUCCUGGUUCCAAGGGUCUUGAUGG
rnacentral:lncRNA from 1 species